rnacentral:lncRNA from 1 species
CUAAAGGGAAAACGGCGAGAAUGCAUAUUUGACAUCAUGAUGAUGUAAUGAUGAAGUCAUCAAGCUAAUUAGAACAGUAAUCGCUCAGCCAGCACCGGAUUUACCGUCACUGUGUGGUUGGCUGGUUGCCAUGGACGUGCUGCUCUUCAUGCUAGCUCGGCAAGAUUACAUGUUGCACAUGCAUACACGAUGAUAAUUAAAAUAAAUGAGUGUAGACUGCGGA